UACGAAGGUGGCAAGCGUUGUUCGGAUUUACUGGGCGUACAGGGAGCGUAGGCGGUUGGAUAAGCCCUCCGUGAAAUCUCCAGGCUUAACCUGGAAAGUGCAGAGGGGACUGUUCAGCUAGAGGAUGGGAGAGGAGCGCGGAAUUCCCGGUGUAGCGGUGAAAUGCGUAGAGAUCGGGAAGAACAUCAGUGGCGACGGCGGCCUGCUGGGCUGUUGCUGACGCUGAGGCGCGACAGCGUGGGGAGCAAACAGG
rnacentral:rRNA from 1 species